rnacentral:piRNA from 1 species
UGGCUGCCUUCUUUCCCUCUCA